GACGAACGCUGGCGGAGUGCUUAACACAUGCAAGUCGAACGGAAAGGCCCUGCUUUUGUGGGGUGCUCGAGUGGCGAACGGGUGAGUAACACGUGAGUAACCUGCCCUUGACUUUGGGAUAACUUCAGGAAACUGGGGCUAAUACCGGAUAGGAGCUCCUGCUGCAUGGUGGGGGUUGGAAAGUUUCGGCGGUUGGGGAUGGACUCGCGGCUUAUCAGCUUGUUGGUGGGGUAGUGGCUUACCAAGGCUUUGACGGGUAGCCGGCCUGAGAGGGUGACCGGCCACAUUGGGACUGAGAUACGGCCCAGACUCCUACGGGAGGCAGCAGUGGGGAAUAUUGCACAAUGGGCGGAAGCCUGAUGCAGCAACGCCGCGUGCGGGAUGACGGCCUUCGGGUUGUAAACCGCUUUCGCCUGUGACGAAGCGUGAGUGACGGUAAUGGGUAACGAAGCACCGGCUAACUACGUG
rnacentral:rRNA from 1 species